rnacentral:rRNA from 1 species
UACGUAGGUGACGAGCGUUAUCCGGAUUUACUGGGCGUAAAGCGCUUGUAGGUGGCUUUGUAAGUUGGGCGUGAAAACUCUGGGCUUAACCCAGAGACGCCGUCCAAUACUGCGAGGCUCGGAGGAUGUCAGAGGAAGGUGGAAUUCCUGGUGUAGUGGUGAAAUGCGUAGAUAUCAGGAGGAACACCCGUGGCGAAGGCGGCCUUCUGGGGCAUUCCUGACACUGAGAAGCGAAAGCUAGGGGAGCAAACAGG